AACGAACGUUGGCGGCGUGGAUUAGGCAUGCAAGUCGCACGAGAAAGGUUUCGCAAGAGACCGAGUAAAGUGGCGCACGGGUGAGUAAUGCAUGGAUAACUUGCCCCUGAGAUGAGAAUAACAUUCCGAAAGGAGUGCUAAUACUCAAUGCCGCCUCUGGACGAUGGUCUAGAGGUGAAACGGAGGCCUCUGAUUCAAGCUUCCGCUCAGGGAGAGGUUCAUGUCCUAUUAGCUAGUUGGUGAGGUAAUGGCUCACCAAGGCUGCGAUGGGUAGCCGACCUGAGAGGGUGACCGGCCACACUGGGACUGAGACACUGCCCAGACUCCUACGGGAGGCUGCAGUCGAGGAUCUUCCGCAAUGGGCGCAGGCCUGACGGAGCGACGCCGCGUGGGUGAUGAAGGCCUUCGGGUUGUAAAACCCUGUUAGCUACAGUGAAACGCGGGUGGUGAACAGCCAUCCCGCCUGACGUAAGUAGCAGAGAAAGCACCGGCUAACUACGUGC
rnacentral:rRNA from 1 species